rnacentral:rRNA from 1 species
GUCGGAUUAGCUAGUUGGCGGGGUAACGGCCCACCAAGGCGACGAUCCGUAGCUGGUCUGAGAGGACGACCAGCCACACUGGGACUGAGACACGGCCAAGACUCCUACGGGAGGCAGCAGUGGGGAAUUUUGGGCAAUGGGCGAAAGCCUGAUCCAGCCAUGCCGCGUGUGUGAAGAAGGCCUUCGGGUUGUAAAGCACUUUCGGACGGAACGAAAUCGGGUGGGCUAAUAACCCGCCUGGAUGACGGUACCGUAAGAAGAAGCACCGGCUAACUACGUGCCAGCAGCCGCGGUAAUACGUAGGGUGCGAGCGUCAAUCGGAAUUACUGGGCGUUAAGUGUGCGCAGGCGGUGCAGCAAGUCGAGUGUGAAAGCCCCGAGCUUAACUUGGGAAUUGCGCUCGAAACUACUGUACUGGAGUAUGGCAGAGGGUGGUGGAAUUCCACGUGUAGCGGUGAAAUGCGUAGAGAUGUGGAGGAACACCAAUGGCGAAGGCAGCCUUCUGG